rnacentral:tRNA from 12 species
CGUGGGUUUCAACAUCUGGCGGUGGCGAACAGUGCCACAAUCAAGUGGGUUCGAUUCCCACG